GACGAACGCUGGCGGCGUGCUUAACACAUGCCAGUCGAACGGAAAGGCCCUGCUUUUGUGGGGUGCUCGAGUGGCGAAAGGGUGAGUAACACGUGAGUAACCUGCCCUUGACUUUGGGAUAACUUCAGGAAACUGGGGCUAAUACCGGAUAGGAGCUCCUGCUGCAUGGUGGGGGUUGGAAAGUUUCGGCGGUUGGGGAUGGACUCGCGGCUUAUCAGCUUGUUGGUGGGGUAGUGGCUUACCAAGGCUUUGACGGGUAGCCGGCCUGAGAGGGUGACCGGCCACAUGGGGACUAAGAGACGGCCCAGACUCCUACGGGAGGCAGCAGUGGGGAAUAUUGCACAAUGGGCGGAAGCCUGAUGCAGCAACGCCGCGUGCGGGAUGACGGCCUUCGGGUUGUAAACCGCUUUCGCCUGUGACGAAGCGUGAGUGACGGUAAUGGGUAAAGAAGCACCGGCUAACUACGUG
rnacentral:rRNA from 1 species